rnacentral:rRNA from 1 species
AUUGAACGCUGGCGGCAGGCCUAACACAUGCAAGUCGAACGAGUGGCGGACGGGUGAGUAAUGUAUGGGGAACUGCCCGAUGGAGGGGGAUAACUACUGGAAACGGUAGCUAAUACCGCAUACCAUCGGAUGUGCCCAGAUGGGAUUAGCUAGUAGGUGGGGUAACGGCUCACCUAGGCGACGAUCCCUAGCUGGUCUGAGAGGAUGACCAGCCACACGGGAACUGAGACAAGGUCCAGACUCCUACGGGAGGCAGCAGUGGGGAAUAUGGCACAAUGGGCGCAAGCCUGAUGCAGCCAUGCCGCGUGUAUGAAGAAGGCCUUCGGGUUGUAAAGUACUUUCAGCGAGGAGGCGUUACUCGCAGAAGAAGCACCGGCUAACUCCGUGCCAGCAGCCGCGGUAAUUC